rnacentral:tRNA from 1 species
UCCCUGGUGGCUCAGAUGGUAAAGAAUCUGCCUGCAAAGCAGGGAACCUGGGUUUGAUUCCUGGGUUGGGAA